rnacentral:rRNA from 1 species
GACGAACGCUGGCGGCGCGCUUAACACAUGCCAGUCGAACGGAAAGGCCUGCUUUCCCUUGUGGAUUGCGGGUACUCGAGUGGCGAACGGGUGAGUAACACGUGAGUGAUCUGCCCCCAACUUGGGUAUAAGCCUGGGAAACUGGGUCUAAUUCCCGAUAGGACUGCAGGGUGGUGCCUGUGGUGGAAAACGAUUUUCUAGUGGUUGGGGAUGAGCUCGCGGCCUAUCAGCUUGUUGGUGGGGUAAUGGCCUACCAAGGCGGCGACGGGUAGCCGGCCUGAGAGGGGGGACGGCCACAUUGGGACUGAGAUACGGCCCAGACUCCUACGGGAGGCAGCAGUGGGGAAUAUUGCACAAUGGGCGGAAGCCUGAUGCAGCGACGCCGCGUGGGGGAUGACGGCCUUCGGGUUGUAAACUCCUUUCGACCGCGAGGAAGCCACCUGGUUGGAAGGGUGGUGACGGUAGUGGUAGAAGAAGCACCGGCUAACUACGUG